GAUGAACGCUGACAGAAUGCUUAACACAUGCAAGUCCACUUGAACUUCGGUUUGGGUGGCGGACGGGUGAGUAACGCGUACAGAACUUGCCUCACAGCUAGGGACAACAUUUGGAAACGAAUGCUAAUACCUGAUAUUAUGAUUAUAUGGCAUCGUAUAAUUAUGAAAGCCAUAUGCGCUGUGAGAGAGCUUUGCGUCCCAUUAGCUAGUUGGAGAGGUAACAGCUCACCAAGGCGAUGAUGGGUAGCCGGCCUGAGAGGGUGAUCGGCCACAAGGGGACUGAGACACGGCCCUUACUCCUACGGGAGGCAGCAGUGGGGAAUAUUGGACAAUGGACCGAGAGUCUGAUCCAGCAAUUCUGUGUGCACGAUGAAGUUUUUCGGAAUGUAAAGUGCUUUCAGUUGGGAAGAAAAAAAUGACGGUACCAACAGAAGAAGUGACGGCUAAAUACGUG
rnacentral:rRNA from 1 species